GUGCUUGCUUCGGCAGCACAUAUACUAAAAUUGGAAUGAUACUGAGAAGAUUAGCAUGGCCCUUGCACAAGGAAGACACUCAAAUUUAUGAAGCAUUCCUUUUUUAA